rnacentral:tRNA from 1 species
GCCUGGGUGGCUCAGUCGGUCAAGCGUCCGUCUUCGGCUCAGGUCAUGAUCUCACGGUUCUGUGGGUUCAAACCCCGCAUCAGGCU